GUUUCGCCGAUGUACCUGCGCAGAAAUCUUAUUUUUGAAUAACGCGUAAAUAUCUCAGCCAAUCAUAGAGCGCGUCCGACCGCUAUUGGUUGUUGCCUAAGCGCCAUGCUUUGUACGCGGGAAUUAUGAGCGAGAUAGCACGAGUCUCUAUUGUUCUUGUUUAUAUAAAGAUAAG